UACGGAGGAUCCAAGCGUUAUCCGGAUUCAUUGGGUUUAAAGGGUGCGUAGGUGGAAUGGUAAGUCAGUGGUGAAAGCCUGCGGCUCAACUGCAGAACUGCCAUUGAUACUGCCAAUCUUGAGUACAUAUGAAGUGGGCGGAAUGUGUCAUGUAGCGGUGAAAUGCUUAGAUAUGACACAGAACACCGAUUGCGAAGGCAGCUCACUAAACUGUAACUGACGCUGAGGCACGAAAGCGUGGGGAGCAAACAGG
rnacentral:rRNA from 1 species